rnacentral:rRNA from 1 species
GAUGAACGCUGGCGGCGUGCCUAAUACAUGCAAGUCGAGCGAAUAGACGAGGAGCUUGCUCCUCUGACGUUAGCGGCGGACGGGUGAGUAACACGUGGAUAACCUACCUAUAAGACUGGGAUAACUUCGGGAAACCGGAGCUAAUACCGGAUAAUAUAUUGAACCGCAUGGUUCAAUAGUGAAAGACGGUUUUGCUGUCACUUAUAGAUGGAUCCGCGCCGCAUUAGCUAGUUGGUAAGGUAACGGCUUACCAAGGCAACGAUGCGUAGCCGACCUGAGAGGGUGAUCGGCCACACUGGAACUGAGACACGGUCCAGACUCCUACGGGAGGCAGCAGUAGGGGAUCUUCCGCAAUGGGCGAAAGCUUGACGGAGCAACGCCGCGUGAGUGAUGAAGGUCUUCGGAUCGUAAAACUCUGUUAUUAGGGAAAGAACAAAUGUGUAAGUAACUAUGCACGUCUUGACGGUACCUAAUCAGAAAGCCACGGCUAACUACGUG